rnacentral:rRNA from 1 species
AACGAACGCUGGCGGCAGGCUUAACACAUGCAAGUCGAGCGCCCCGCAAGGGGAGCGGCAGACGGGUGAGUAACGCGUGGGAACGUACCCUUUGCUACGGAAUAGCUCCGGGAAACUGGAAUUAAUACCGUAUGUGCCCUACGGGGGAAAGAUUUAUCGGCAAAGGAUCGGCCCGCGUUGGAUUAGCUAGUUGGUGGGGUAAUGGCCUACCAAGGCGACGAUCCAUAGCUGGUCUGAGAGGAUGAUCAGCCACAUUGGGACUGAGACACGGCCCAAACUCCUACGGGAGGCAGCAGUGGGGAAUAUUGGACAAUGGGCGCAAGCCUGAUCCAGCCAUGCCGCGUGAGUGAUGAAGGCCUUAGGGUUGUAAAGCUCUUUCACCGGAGAAGAUAAUGACGGUAUCCGGGGAAGAAGCCCCGGCUAACUUCGUGCCAGCCGCCGCGGUAAAAC